AAGCACUUUUAUCAGGAGCGAAAACCUGUCGGUUAAUACCCGGCGGGCCUGACGGUACCUGAGGAAUAAGCACCGGCUAACUUCGUGCCAGCAGCCGCGGUAAUACGAAGGGUGCAAGCGUUAAUCGGAAUUACUGGGCGUAAAGCGUGCGUAGGCGGUUUGUUAAGUCUGCUGUGAAAUCCCCGGGCUCAACCUGGGAAUGGCAGUGGAUACUGGCAGGCUAGAGUGUGUCAGAGGGUGGUGGAAUUCCCGGUGUAGCGGUGAAAUGCGUAGAGAUCGGGAGGAACAU
rnacentral:rRNA from 1 species